UCGAAAUUUCGUUCGAUUUGUUCAAAUGAAAAUUGUGAUACAUUUUCAUUAGUAUUUCUUGGGAAAUCGGCUGCCCACGAAUAAUUGCACAGAAUCAUUUCCGCCUGGAACGGCAGACGAUGCGGAAGUAGAAUGCGAGAGAAGCAUCUAGUAUAUGGUAGCUAAUUCGAGAAGAAACCAUACUGGGCCACAUACACAAGCGCACGUGUAGUUAUGUUCAUAGAUGGCUAUAAAUUGAUUUCAUUCAGAGAUGAGUAGAAUUUCACUCGAGCAAUAUUCGAUAUCAUUAAAAUCAUUACAAAUUUACUGUAAAUAUCGAGCAAGCAAUACUACAAAAUGUCCCGUUAAUGUUAAUGAAUCACAAUGCUGUAUCAUUGCGGACAUUGUAACGAGUUUUUUUUAAUCUAUAUGAGUUUCUACGGAAGCACGAUAAACUUAUUACAUUUUUACACUUGCAGUUAUGAGAUUGUUUAUCACUGAUAUUAUAUAAUUCGUUCCAUGAUAUGCACUCUGCAGACAUUCAGCGCUAAUAGUCAUGGGAAAUGCAUCCAAUGCGGCAAAGCACAGUGGAUGUAAUCGAUGGCGAUAAGCAUUGCGGUAACGUUUGCAAAAGUUCCAACGAAAGUUUCAGUGCAUUAUAGUACAGUCCAGACUACAGGGACGACUCUAGCAUGAAGGUUUCCAAUUGGUAAGGGAAGGAAGCGAUAGUGGCAGCUGUUCGCGUCAAUGGUAAAUGCUCCCCUGAAGUCAAAGUAUGCUUCUCAUUUGUAUUCAAGCUACUAUAAGUAAAGCACGUCUUUACGAUGCCAGUCUAUCGAUAAAAAAACUGUACAGUUUAUCGCUAUCUAUGAACAAACUGCGCAAUGAAAUUUUUCAAAUAAACUAUUUAUUUCAAUGUGUUCUUUAUUAAUUUUAUGCAACUUCAUUAAAAUUAUUAACAAUGAAUAAUUCCUGACUCGAAAAUGAAGUAGUAACUAAGAAGUUUCUUAUUUU